rnacentral:rRNA from 1 species
UACGUAGGGGGCUAGCGUUGUCCGGAAUCACUGGGCGUAAAGCGCGCGUAGGCGGUCCGGUAAGUCCGCUGUGAAAGUCGGGGGCUCAACCCUCGAAUGCCGGUGGAUACUGUCGGGCUAGAGUGCGGAAGAGGCGAGUGGAAUUCCUGGUGUAGCGGUGAAAUGCGCAGAUAUCAGGAGGAACACCGGUGGCGAAGGCGGGUCUCUGGGCCGAUACUGACGCUGAGGAGCGAAAGCGUGGGGAGCGAACAGG